GCCAGUGUGGCAUAGUGGUUUUGAGUAUUGGACCAUGACUCUGGAGACCAGGCUUCGAAUCACCGCUUAGCCA